rnacentral:rRNA from 1 species
AUUGAACGCUGGCGGCAGGCCUAACACAUGCAAGUCGAACGAGUGGCGGACGGGUGAGUAAUGUCUGGGAAACUGCCUGAUGGCGGGGGAUAACUACUGGAAACGGUAGCUAAUACCGCAUACCAUCAGAUGUGCCCCGAUGGGAUUAGCUUGUUGGUGGGGUAUCGGCUCACCAAGGCGACGCUCCCUAGCUGGUCUGAGAGGAUGACCGGCAACACUGGAACUGAGACACGUUCCAGACUCCUACGGGAGGCAGCAGUGGGGAAUAUUGGAAAAGGGGCGAAAGCAUGAUGCAGCCAUGCCGCGUGUAGGAAGAAGGCCUUCGGGUUGUAAAGUACUUUCAGCGGGGAGGCGUUACCCGAAGAAGAAGCACCGGCUAACUCCGUGCCAGCAGCCGCGGUAAUAC